rnacentral:rRNA from 1 species
AGGCCUUGCGCUCUUUGAGCGGCCGAUAUCAGAUUAGCUAGUUGGUGGGGUAAAAGCUCACCAAGGCGACGAUCUGUAGCGGGUCUGAGAGGAUGAUCCGCCACACUGGAACUGAGACACGGUCCAGACUCCUACGGGAGGCAGCAGUGGGGAAUUUUGGACAAUGGGGGCAACCCUGAUCCAGCCAUGCCGCGUGAGUGAAGAAGGCCUUCGGGUUGUAAAGCUCUUUCGGCCGGGAAGAAAUCGUAUCAGCUAAUACCUGGUGCGGAUGACGGUACCGGCAUAAGAAGCACCGGCUAACUACGUGCCAGCAGCCGCGGUAAUACGUAGGGUGCGAGCGUUAAUCGGAAUUACUGGGCGUAAAGCGUGCGCAGGCGGUUUUGUAAGACAGGCGUGAAAUCCCCGGGCUCAACCUGGGAACUGCGUUUGUGACUGCAAGGCUAGAGUACGGCAGAGGGGGGUGGAAUUCCACGUGUAGCAGUGAAAUGCGUAGAGAUGUGGAGGAACACCAAUGGCGAAGGCAGCCCCCUGGGUCGAUACUGACGCUCAUGCACGAAAGCGUGGGUAGCAAACAGGAUUAGAUACCCUGGUAGUCCACGCCCUAAACGAUGUCAACUAGGUGUUGGGAGGGUAAAACCUUUUAGUACCGGAGCUAACGCGUGAAGUUGACCGCCUGGGGAGUACGGCCGCAAGGUUAAAACUCAAAGGAAUUGACGGGGACCCGCACAAGCGGUGGAUGAUGUGGAUUAAUUCGAUGCAACGCGAAAAACCUUACCUACCCUUGACAUGUCAGGAACUUUCCAGAGAUGGAUUGGUGCUCGAAAGAGAACCUGAACACAGGUGCUGCAUGGCUGUCGUCAGCUCGUGUCGUGAGAUGUUGGGUUAAGUCCCGCAACGAGCGCAACCCUUGUCGUUAAUUGCCAUCAUUUAGUUGGGCACUUUAACGAGACUGCCGGUGACAAACCGGAGGAAGGUGGGGAUGACGUCAAGUCCUCAUGGCCCUUAUGGGUAGGGCUUCACACGUCAUACAAUGGUCGGUACAAAGGGUCGCCAAGCCGCGAGGUGGAGCUAAUCCCAGAAAGCCGAUCGUAGUCCGGAUUGCAGGCUGCAACUCGCCUGCAUGAAGUCGGAAUCGCUAGUAAUCGUGGAUCAGCAUGUCACGGUGAAUACGUUCCCGGGUCUUGUACACACCGCCCGUCACACCAUGGGAGCGGGUUCCGCCAGAAGUAGGUAGCCUAACCGCAAGGAGGGCGCUUACCACGGCGGG